AAUUCCAUCACUCAUUCAAGCACUAUUAAUAUUUUGGGUAUAUUUCCUUCCAGCCUCCCCCCUUUAUAAAUCUACAUGAACUUUUCUUAAAUAGCUAAGAUGAUAUUAUAUUUGAUUUCAUAUCCUGCUCUUUCUCUCUCUAUCAUAAGAACUGUUUUGUGUUAUUACAUUAUGAAUAAACUUUAUUUUUUAGCAGCAUAAUUAUUUUCAUUCUAUAUUUGAAGUGGGAACUUAAAUUAUUUCAGACACCACAAUUAGAAACAACACAGAUUAAAGUUAAUGAAAUAAACUAAAAAAAAAUGUAUCUAUUCUAUACAUAGAAGUUCACUCUUGGUUCUGUUUUUUUUCUUCUUCUUCCUUUUCUGUGGAAUUCUAGUUUUCUCAUUAGGGAUUGAACCCGGGCAGCCACAGCAGUGGACGUGCCAAGUUCUAACCCCUGGACCCCUGGGGAAUUCUCUCUUGGUUCUGUUUUGAUCAUUUACAUUGUUGUUGUUUUAGUUGCUCAGGUGUGUCCGGCUCUUUUGUGACCCCGUGUAGCCUGCCAGGCUCCUCUGUCCAUGGGACUUUGAUCUUUAUAACUUCUUCCAAGUUCACACCUUCUCUGUGCUGUAUUAUCAGCAGUGCUCAGUUUCAAGCCACACAAUCCCAUGCCGUUGGAAGUAAGCCACCAUCAGGCCAUUCUCACGGCCCCUGGCCUCUGGCAGUUUACCUGGGAGAUGAGGUGACUUCCCAGAGGACAGAGGUGAGGCAGAUGUCCCCCAGGAGCACAGGUGAGGACAUCUUUAGGAUCAAAUCUAAGCCUUGAGGCCAAGGCUGGGCUGAUCUCCCCCAUCCAUACUCCAUCUACCAGUCCACUUCCGGAUGCCCCUACAUCCCCACUCCCCACCCCAACCUCACUCUUGGACCAUCCUGGUGUUCAGGGAGCUUGCCAAGCUGCCUCAUACCUGGUGCAUCACUAUUCCUCUUUCAAAAGUGUGUUUGGCACAAUUGGAAUUCCCCCAGGCUGGGUUAUCAGCCUCUUGCGUGCAUGUACAACUCUUACUGUCACUGUGCAUUUCACUUGGACCCCUUUCCUUUGCUCUAGUGGGCCAAGGACUGUGUCCUGCUUGGCCUUGCAGUGCCCAAGCACCCUGGACAGUGGCUAACUGAACUAGGAGCAGGACACGUGUGUGGAUUGCCCUGCUUCACGGCAUGCAAACUGCACGGUGACCACAAGGUGGCGCCCACCACACACCGUUCGCAGUUCCUGGCCUUGCCCAGGCUGUUCUAGUUCCACCAGGGACACCUGCCCCAGGUGGGGCAGGGCCCUCAGAGCCGCCUCCUCUCUCUGCAGAUACCCAAGGAGCCGAAAAGCACUGCCCUCCAUCCUGAGGAUUCCAGCUUCAGGCCCCCAGAACCUUAAACUCCCCGGGCAAGAGAGAAGCAGGCUCCACAGAUUGUCCUGCUGCUCCCCAAGGAGCCAGUGCUGACCACGCUGGGAACACAAGAGCAAGGCGAGUGGCGCCCCGCCUGGUGGCCUGGUCCAGGGCGCCUCCAUCUCCCCCUCCACCUUCAUCCCAGGGGGCCUGCCUGAGAAUGGAGGAGGAGCUGUAGACAAAGUGGGCAUCCAAGCCAGGUUCCAGCUGCAGGAGGCCUGCCACUGGGGGUCUUGGCGGUCACAUCCUGAGAAAAACAGGCCGGAGUGGGGCUGGGGGCUGGAGGUGGACCCAAGUCCUCCUCGGAGACAACAUAGCUGCCAGUUGUCUGCUGAGCUCUUCCACCCCCUGCCUGCCCAUAAGCAGUGUCUUCCAUGCCCCCUGAACCCCCCAGACCUCCCUGUGCCAUGCAGAUGGCAGCCUCUGUGAAUAAACAUGCCUGGUGUUCUUUGUA